rnacentral:rRNA from 1 species
CCAGACUCCUACGGGAGGCAGCAGUGGGGAAUCUUCCGCAAUGGGCGCAAGCCUGACGGAGCAACGCCGCGUGAGUGAAGAAGGUCUUCGGAUCGUAAAGCUCUGUUGAUGGGGACGAACGUGCCUAAUGCGAAUAGCUUUAGGCAAUGACGGUACCCAUCGAGGAAGCCACGGCUAACUACGUGCCAGCAGCCGCGGUAAUACGUAGGUGGCGAGCGUUGUCCGGAAUCAUUGGGCGUAAAGGGAGCGCAGGCGGGCAUGUAAGUCUUUCUUAAAAGUGCGGGGCUCAACCCCGUGAUGGGAAAGAAACUAUGUGUCUUGAGUACAGGAGAGGAAAGCGGAAUUCCCAGUGUAGCGGUGAAAUGCGUAGAUAUUGGGAGGAACACCAGUGGCGAAGGCGGCUUUCUGGACUGCAACUGACGCUGAGGCUCGAAAGCCAGGGGAGCGAACGGGAUUAGAUACCCCGGUAGUCCUGGCCGUAAACGAUGGAUACUAGGUGUGGGAGGUAUCGACCCCUACCGUGCCGGAGUUAACGCAAUAAGUAUCCCGCCUGGGGAGUACGGCCGCAAGGCUGAAACUCAAAGGAAUUGACGGGGGCCCGCACAAG